CAGCAGCCGCGGUAAUACGGAGGGGGCUAGCGUUGUUCGGAAUUACUGGGCGUAAAGCGCACGUAGGCGGACUGGAAAGUCAGAGGUGAAAUCCCAGGGCUCAACCUUGGAACUGCCUUUGAAACUAUCAGUCUGGAGUUCGAGAGAGGUGAGUGGAAUUCCGAGUGUAGAGGUGAAAUUCGUAGAUAUUCGGAGGAACACCAGUGGCGAAGGCGGCUCACUGGCUCGAUACUGACGCUGAGGUGCGAAAGCGUGGGGAGCAAACAGGAUUAGAGACCCCCGUAGUCCCUGUCUCUUAUAC
rnacentral:rRNA from 1 species